CCUUCCACCCACCCACCCCGACACCCCUUGUCCCUCCCCCAACCGCUCUGAACGGAUAGACAGGGGGAGAUUCAUCUUCGUCGUCGCACCCAGCUGCUGCUACUGCCAGUGCCACGUGCCUUGUAAGGAGGGAAAUGCAAGUGGAGAAGACAGCCAUGUGAAGACAGAGGCAGAGACAGAAACAGCUGCAAACCAAGGAAACCAGAGGGAUGCUGGCAAACACCAGAAGCCAGAAGAAGCAGGGAAGGAUUUGCCUCUUUAAGUUUCAGAGGGAGCAUGGCCCUGCUAACACCUUGAUUUUAUACCUCUAACCCUCCUGUACUAUAAAGAAGCACCAGUAGAGCUGGCGAGCAGAAGCCUGGCCUCGGGGCAAAAGAGAUGCCACAGAAAUAGUUACACAGGCCUCGGAAGGGAAGCCUCCACUGCGUGUACGGCCCCCGUGGACUGCCGCAGGAAACGAUGGCAUCAGUGUGACAGAGCACUUGGUAAACCAUACAAUGUUCUACAGAUCAAUUAGUCCCAAGAAGGUGCUCCCAGAGUUCAGGGAGCGUCCGUGUCUUCUGGAGCCACCUCUUACCCAGGCUGACACUGCAGUGACGAUCAAAUUCAGAGACAGCCACCAUCAAUGAUGUGAACUCUAUUCAAUGAAUUAUGUCGCUGGCAUUUGCUGAAAAGCACUCAAGGACAAUAUGUCAUCCUAGGAUUUCCUAGGAUCCUCCUGGAAGCCUCAAAGAAUGGGUCAGAUUUUGUGGAUUCUAAGCAUCAUGACACUCUAUAAAAGAGAGCCUGGAGCAACCUUGAAAUUAAGCCACACAGGCAGCCAUUUACUUGGUUAAUGAACAUUGCUAUUUCAUUGGUUUUAAGGCGCUGGUGUUGAUGGUCGUUCUCGUUCCUGGCUGGAAGCUCCCUGGAGAGGCAUUGGUGGCAGCAGAAUUCUCACCUUCUCGAGGUGCUCGGGAUCACUCACUCUGCGGAAGCCAGCUGCCACGUCACGAAGACCCUCUGGCUAUUCUGUGGAGGAGUUUACAUGACUCGGAGCUAAGGCCUCCUGCCAGCAGCCAUGUGAGCGAGCAUCUUGGGGGCAGAACCUCCAGCCUCAGCCUUUGGGUGACUGCAGACUGCAAGCCAAUUGCUUCACCUGCAGGCCUUGAGCCAGAACUGCCCAACUACCCAAACUAAGCUACUCUGGGAUCCCUGACCCUCAGAAAAUGGCAGACAAACAUUAGCCAGUAUGAACCAGAGGAAGACCUGAGACUUUGGAUGAAUCAGAAUCAGCCAAAAAAGUUCAUCUGGCAACUCCUGCGAACUGACCGUCAUCCAGGGGAACAGCUGUGAUGUCGCACGGGGCACCCAGGCAUUCUGAAGAGCCACUGGCAUUGAGAAAGGGGCAGCGACAUUUCCCCCAGCCUGUCCUUCCUUCCCGGCUCCUGGGGGAGAGUGACAAAGCCAGAGGAUAAUGAGAUGACCAGAUCAACUCAUACGGAGAAAAAGUGCAACUUCCCCAAAGAUGGGGAAGCUGAGGCACGGAGAGGCAGCUGGCCCAAGGUUACACGGGUUGCAAGUGGCGGCAGAACCAAGAUUUACACCGUGAGCAUCAGUGGGCUUAUCCUUAGCACCUCACUUGGGGAGGACACUGCAAUUAAUGUGAAUCCCUGGGGUGCCUCUCCAGCAACGACUCUGCCUCCUAAGAUAUCUCUGUUUACCUCUCAUCUUUGUCCAGCUCUCCCUAAAAUGUUUAGAGAGCAAAUUUAAGGACCUUUUGCUGUACAACCUUGUAAAGAGGGUCAUAAUGGGAUUUAAAGGCUGCUGUCUGCCAGGUUUCUUUGUCCACACAUUAAUUUAUUACCACCACUUCCAUAACACUCGGAGGCGCUGAACUAGACAUCAUUUCUACUUAAGCCAUGUUGCCUUUUUCCUCCCCAUCUUAGACAGGCUGUUGACUCGCCAGUACAGAGUGGCCAGAGGUCCCUGUAGCACAUUUGUUGUGAUGAAACAGGUAGUCGCUAAUCCCCCGCCCUGCAGUGCAGAGAGAGGUACACACAUUGGCUUGUGAACCACACUUUUCCCUGGAGUGCCUUCCAGUUCAUGGGAGGCAGCAGGCUGCCCUGGUGAGUUAUUUAUACCUCAUUUGUCAACGAGUCUAGAGUACUCUGUUUCUUUGCCACUUUUUGAUCUGAUUACCUCUGACUUCUCUGUUUUGAAAGACAAAUUUGUAGCAGGAAUCUCCCUAAAGCUCCUGGGUAGAGAGCAAAUCAUACCUCCCCCGUCACUUUUCCCCGGGCAGUUUACUUAAGAGCAAGUAUCAAGAGGUGGCCUUGAUUCUGUAGCCAGGGAUGCCCUUGAUCACCAUUUUGUCUUAAUGUUUGAAGCUUAUAAAUUUCUUAAGGCUUUUUUAAAAAUUGUCUUUGGCUGAUGUGUUGUCUUUAGACAUGGCUUACUUCAGGGGCCACUCUCUUCACUGAGGAUGUCUUUUCAU